rnacentral:sRNA from 1 species
CACUAGUUGUUUGUUUUGAGCUGGCGAUACAUUUUUUAAAGUUUUUGUGUUUAUUACAUGUCUAGUUUAUUGGUCUCUGAUUACAUGUUUUUGAAUUAUUUAAAAUAUUUAAAUAUAAAGAAGAUGAGUGAAAUGAUACCUUAUAAUAGUUUCAAGUGUGUGAAAGUUUGAUAGCCGAGAAGAAAGUAAAUUUGUUAGGUUAUAAUGAAAAACAACAACAUUCAACAAGCUGGCGAGAGGCGCGAAAUGUACUCCUGAGUUGAAGAACCUUAUAAGAUGGUGGGUGACAUUUGGAAUACUGUGUGGUGCUACAUUUGUGACUAGAUUUUACAAAGUUUUGGAACCGGACCAUGUUUGAUGCUGAUAGCUUUGUCUGGAGAGUUAACAGGCUAUGAUGGGUCAUUCCCAUUUGAGAAACCGGGUGAUAAAUAUGGAGGUGACAAGUACCAGGGAAUGAGAUUUGAUGGGAUUGGAGAAGCGAACAACGUGUGGAAGAUCGUGAUAUCGGGCGGCAGGGACGGCUACGAGGUGCAGACUGUUAAGAGCAAACUCAUACUGGUGCACUAUUUACAGUGCCAAAAGUAAGUUUUGAGGCGUACGCGUCGGGUUUUGUAGAACGAUUCUUCGAAUCCCACGCGGUAAUGUUUCAAGGCAACACUGGACUCAAACCCAAGGAGGGGGAGGUCACCUCGCAGCCUUGGCAAUGGCCUAUCAACUAUAGGGCAUCCUCACAGAAUACCUUCUGAGCAGUAUCAGGAGUUACCUCAGCGCGGAGAUCGGCAAGACAGCUUACCACUGCAUCUUAGGACUGAUAAUGUCUACGACGGUGUACAGUUUCUAUUUAUUUUCCCCGUUGGCGUACGGCAUGAACGGGCCGCUAGCCAACGAGCCGAACUCCACCAUGGCUGGGUUGAAAUGGCUCGACUCUUGGGAGUUUUGAGCAUGGGCGCCGCCAAAAUUACUUUUAGGGAGGUGCUUCUGCAUAAGGAGGGUACCACAUUAGUAUUUUUUUUUCAAAUAAAUAUCGCGCCGGUAUUUGCAUAUGCUAAACCAUUCCCAUUGUCAUUCAGUUAUGUUUAUUGGGACUUGCUCCAGACAGGUGCACCUCCUUGCACCCACUCCUCGCGCCGCCCAUGGUUUUGAGUCUCGUUGACUAAAAAUAUGUUUCUAUAUUUCUUUAUAAGUUAAAGGGCGAUUUUAAUCUCUGUCACUGUGAUGCUAAUAUCAAAAUUUUAUUGUGUCCGAUUGAUUGUACUUCGAGUCUUUAUUAUGGUACUGGAAUAAAUAUUAUAAGAAUUUUAUGAAUACUAUGAUGCUAGUUUAUGAUAUCAUCAAUUGACGAUAUUGUUUAUGAUAUAGAAAAUAUUUUACAUUGCUUUAUAAUUAUAUUUUUUACGCUGUUUUUCCUGCUUUUCUUUUAUAUUGCAAAUACUCAUUUACAACUUCUAGCUAAUAAUUCAUUCAAGAUUAUAUUCAUUCAUAAAUUAUAUGAAUUUCUAGGUAAUUUAUACUUAGUUUUAUCAAUUUGCUGAUAAUGCGUAAUCGAUUACAGACAAAAUCUAUAUGAUAAGUUUGGAUUAAAUAAAAAUGUGUACAAAACAAAAUUAUCAAUGAAAAGAUAAAAUAUACUCAAUGAAUUCCGUCCUUAAUUAUUAUAUUUAUCUAAAUUGUAAGGGAAAUAAAAUAUUUAUAAUUUGGUGUAGGUGUAGAAUAAAAUGUAGUAUUAUAACUAAUUUAACGUCAACAAUGCCGUCCAAUUGUAAUUUAUUUUGAUUUUAAUUUAUAUUAUAAACGGCACGACUCAUGCGCACAAAUGAACAAUGGUAGAGCGAGAUAGCGUAUGUACAAAUUGAAUGAAAAUGUUUAUUAAUAGUUGCAUGACUAGCCAAUAGACAGCUUCGGUCGAGAAGCCAGUCGCGCGAAACAUUACCGCGUCGGGCGCUGAACCAACCAAUCACAACUGUGCUUUCUACUCGUGCCUCUAUAGAACACAAACUUUUGUGUCAUAGUUAUGCUCACAUAUUUUUGUAUAUUGAAGAUUUUAAUAAAAGUUUUGUAAUAA